rnacentral:rRNA from 1 species
CCUACGGGGGGCAGCAGUGGGGAAUAUUGGACAAUGGGGGCAACCCUGAUCCAGCCAUGCCGCGUGUGUGAAGAAGGCCCUCGGGUUGUAAAGCACUUUCAGUGAGGAAGAACGCCUGGUGGUUAAUACCCAUCAGGAAAGACAUCACUCACAGAAGAAGCACCGGCUAACUCCGUGCCAGCAGCCGCGGUAAUACGGAGGGUGCGAGCGUUAAUCGGAAUUACUGGGCGUAAAGCGCGCGUAGGUGGCUUGAUAAGCCGGUUGUGAAAGCCCCGGGCUCAACCUGGGAACGGCAUCCGGAACUGUCAAGCUAGAGUGCAGGAGAGGAAGGUAGAAUUCCCGGUGGAGCGGUGAAAUGCGUAGAGAUCGGGAGGAAUACCAGUGGCGAAGGCGGCCUUCUGGACUGACACUGACACUGAGGUGCGAAAGCGUGGGUAGCAAACAGGAUUAGAUACCCAAGUAGUC